UACGUAGGGUGCGAGCGUUGUCCGGAAUUAUUGGGCGUAAAGAGCUCGUAGGCGGUCUGUCGCGUCGGCUGUGAAAACCCGGAGCUCAACUCCGGGCCUGCAGUCGAUACGGGCAGACUGGAGUUCGGCAGGGGAGACUGGAAUUCCUGGUGUAGCGGUGAAAUGCGCAGAUAUCAGGAGGAACACCGGUGGCGAAGGCGGGUCUCUGGGCAGUAACUGACGCUGAGGAGCGAAAGCGUGGGGAGCAAACAGG
rnacentral:rRNA from 1 species